GGCUGGUCCGAUGGUAGUGGGUUAUCAGAACUUAUUAACAUUAGUGUCACUAAAGUUGGUAUUCAACCCCCCACUGCUAAAUUUGACUAGCUUUUA
rnacentral:Y_RNA from 1 species